UACAAUGGCAGGUACAGAGGGGUGCUACCGGGUGACCGGAUGCCGAUCUCGAAAACCUGUCCCAGUUCGGACUGGAGUCUGCAACCCGACUCCACGAAGUUGGAUUCGCUAGUAAUCGCGCAUCAGCCAUGGCGCGGUGAAUACGUUCCCGGGCCUUGUACACACCGCCCGUCAAGCCAUGGGAGCCGGGGGCGCCUGAAGUCCGGGACCGCGAGGACCGGCCUAAGGCGAAACUGGUGACUGGGGCUAAGUCGUAACAAGGUAAC
rnacentral:rRNA from 1 species